AAAGUACCCCUCCGUCCCAAAAUUCUUGUCUUAGAUUUUUCUAGAUACGGAUGUAUCAAGUCACAUUUUAGUAUUAGAUACAUCCAUAUCUAGACAAAUCUAAGACAAGAAAUUUGGGACAGAGGGAGUAGUUG
rnacentral:pre_miRNA from 1 species